rnacentral:rRNA from 1 species
GAUGAACGCUGGCGGCGUGCCUAACACAUGCAAGUCGAACGGAGAUUACGGACGGAAGUUUUCGGAUGGAAGUCUGUAAUUCUUAGUGGCGGACGGGUGAGUAACGCGUGGGCAACCUGCCCUAUACAGGGGGAUAGCAGCUGGAAACGGCUGGUAAGACCGCAUAAGUCGGCGAGACCGCAUGGUUUUGCCGGGAAAUGAGCAAUCAGGUAUAGGAUGGGCCCGCGUCCGAUUAGCCAGUUGGCAGGGUAAAAGCCUACCAAAGCAACGAUCGGUAGCCGGACUGAGAGGUCGGACGGCCACAUUGGGACUGAGACACGGCCCAAACUCCUACGGGAGGCAGCAGUGGGGGAUAUUGCACAAUGGAGGAAACUCUGAUGCAGCGACGCCGCGUGAGUGAAGAAGUAUUUCGGUAUGUAAAGCUCUAUCAGCAGGGAAGAUGAUGACGGUACCUGACUAAGAAGCCCCGGCUAACUACGUG